rnacentral:rRNA from 1 species
CAACCUCCCACCCGUGUCUAUCGUACCUUGUUGCUUCGGCGGGCCCGCCGUUUCGACGGCCGCCGGGGAGGCCUUGCGCCCCCGGGCCCGCGCCCGCCGAAGACCCCAACAUGAACGCUGUUCUGAAAGUAUGCAGUCUGAGUUGAUUAUCGUAAUCAGUUAAAACUUUCAACAACGGAUCUCUUGGUUCCGGCAUCGAUGAAGAACGCAGCGAAAUGCGAUAAGUAAUGUGAAUUGCAGAAUUCAGUGAAUCAUCGAGUCUUUGAACGCACAUUGCGCCCCCUGGUAUUCCGGGGGGCAUGCCUGUCCGAGCGUCAUUGCUGCCCUCAAGCACGGCUUGUGUGUUGGGCCCCCGUCCCCCUCUCCCGGGGGACGGGCCCGAAAGGCAGCGGCGGCACCGCGUCCGGUCCUCGAGCGUAUGGGGCUUUGUCACCUGCUCUGUAGGCCCGGCCGGCGCCAGCCGACACCCAACUUUAUUUUUCUAAGGUUGACCUCGGAUCAGGUAGGGAUACCCGCUGAACUUAAGCAUAUCAAUAAAGCGGAGGA